rnacentral:rRNA from 1 species
UACGAAGGGGGCUAGCGUUGCUCGGAAUCACUGGGCGUAAAGGGUGCGUAGGCGGGUCUUUAAGUCAGGGGUGAAAUCCUGGAGCUCAACUCCAGAACUGCCUUUGAUACUGAAGAUCUUGAGUUCGGGAGAGGUGAGUGGAACUGCGAGUGUAGAGGUGAAAUUCGUAGAUAUCAAGCGGAACACCGGUGGCGAAGGCGGCUCUCUGGACCGAUACUGACGCUGAGGCGCGAAAGCGCGGGGAGCAAACAGG